CUACCCGCUGAACUUAAGCAUAUCAAUAA
rnacentral:rRNA from 2 species